UCCCCGGUAGCUCAGUUGGAAGAGUACCCGGCGCGAGACUGGGAGGUCCCGGGUUCGAUUCCCGGCUGGGUGC